rnacentral:rRNA from 1 species
CAACAGGGAUUCCCCUAGUAACGGCGAGUGAAGCGGGAACAGCUCAAAUUUGAAAUCUGGCCCUUGGGUCCGAGUUGUAAUUUGUAGAGGAUGCUUUUGGUGCGGUGCCUUCCGAGUUCCCUGGAACGGGACGCCUUAGAGGGUGAGAGCCCCGUACGGUUGGACGCCUAGCCUCUGUAAAGCUCCUUCGACGAGUCGAGUAGUUUGGGAAUGCUGCUCUAAAUGGGAGGUAUAUUUCUUCUAAAGCUAAAUACUGGCCAGAGACCGAUAGCGCACAAGUAGAGUGAUCGAAAGAUGAAAAGCACUUUGAAAAGAGGGUUAAAUAGCACGUGAAAUUGUUGAAAGGGAAGCGUUUAUCACCAGACUUUUUCUGGGGGGAUCAUCCGGUGUUCUCACCGGUGCACUUCCCCCAGUUGAGGCCAGCAUCGGUUUUCGGAGGGGGAUAAAAGCUUCGGGAAUGUGACUCCCUCGGGAGUGUUAUAGCCCGUUGCAUAAUACCCUUCUGGGGACCGAGGUUCGCGCAUCUGCAAGGAUGCUGGCAUAAUGGUGAUCAACGACCCGUCUUGAAACACGGACCAAGGAGUCGAACAUUUAUGCGAGUGUUUGGGUGUCAAACCCUCACGCGUAAUGAAAGUGAACGGAGGUGAGAGCCCUUACGGGUGCAUCAUCGACCGAUCCUGAUGUCUUCGGAUGGAUUUGAGUAAGAGCAUAACUGUUCGGACCCGAAAGAUGGUGAACUAUGCGUGGAUAGGGUGAAGCCAGGAGAAAUCCUGGUGGAGGCUCGCAGCGGUUCUGACGUGCAAAUCGAUCGUCAAAUCUGCGCAUGGGGCGAAAGACUAAUCGAACCAUCUAG